AACAAAGUUCUGGGCAAAUUCCAUUAACGUAUCUCUGAAUAUAUCAGUGUAGUGGCACAAUUAGGGAAACAUUUUGAUCUGAAUGACCACACUUGAUUUUCCAACAAUCUUACAAGAUAGUCAAGGCAAGUAUUUGUGCCAUUUCAUACAUGAAGAAGCUGAGAAUCUCAGCCAUUAGGUCAUCACCAGGCAACAUGGAACAGGACCGCUAGAGGUCUCACAGCAACUCUAGCACUGUCCCUCUGCCCCUGCCAUCUGUCCGUAGUUGUGAAUGAGCAUUUAGAGUCAUUUCCUACGUACAAUAUCACUUUGCCCUGAAGCACAGUAGUAUCAGCUAGACAACAUCACACUUAAGAUCCUUCUAAUCUUAUGAUUUAAUGUGACGGUUUUCCAUUAUGGGAUUCAGUACUUUCAAAAGGCCUGUAUAUCCAGCCCUACACGAGCGUCUUUUCUGGACCUGCCCCGACCUCUGCACUUUUUCCUGUCUCUUCAUCAAAACAUCUAGCCAACAAAUUGUCCAUAGGAAACUACUGAAGGCUAGCUAUGCUCCCCCAAAAUAGGGGUAAUUGGAUGAGAAAGGGUUCCAGGAGCACAAUGAAGAGAAGUCCAUCAGGGCAGGAUUCCAUGGCCACCGAACCAAAGGGUACAAGAGCUGACUUCGUCCAGACCCCGACCUUCCGUGAGAGGAUAGAUAUUUUGGUUCUCAUCUUACACAGGAGCUGACUGUAGUCCGCAGAGGCUAAUCCAUUCAGAGGAGGAGGAGAGAUUAAAGAUUUAAUGGAAGAAGAGAAGCCAUGGGUGACGGGAUAAAUCGUUCCUGGUAAUCAGACAGCUAAAAAGUGUUGCAAGGGGAUCCGGUUUCAGGUCCUCUGCUUCCAAACCUCGAGCUCAUUUUACUACAUGUUAAUAGAUUUCUCUGCUCUUUAGAUCUUCAGUUUUUUUUUUUAAUUUUUAUUUAUUUAAGAGAGAGAGAGAGAGAGAGAGAGGCAGAGACACAGCAGAGGGAGAAGCAGGCUNAAUUUUUAUUUAUUUAAGAUAGAUAGAUAGAGAGAGAGAGAGAGAGAGAGGCAGAGACGUAGGCAGAGGGAGA
rnacentral:lncRNA from 1 species